rnacentral:rRNA from 1 species
AACGGAUAAAAGGUACUCCGGGGAUAACAGGCUGAUACCGCCCAAGAGUUCAUAUCGACGGCGGUGUUUGGCACCUCGAUGUCGGCUCAUCACAUCCUGGGGCUGAAGUAGGUCCCAAGGGUAUGGCUGUUCGCCAUUUAAAGUGGUACGCGAGCUGGGUUUAGAACGUCGUGAGACAGUUCGGUCCCUAUCUGCCGUGGGCGCUGGAGAACUGAGGGGGGCUGCUCCUAGUACGAGAGGACCGGAGUGGACGCAUCACUGGUGUUCGGGUUGUCAUGCCAAUGGCACUGCCCGGUAGCUAAAUGCGGAAGAGAUAAGUGCUGAAAGCAUCUAAGCACGAAACUUGCCCCGAGAUGAGUUCUCCCUGACCCUUUAAGGGUCCUGAAGGAACGUUGAAGACGACGACGUUGAUAGGCCGGGUGUGUAAGCGCAGCGAUGCGUUGAGCUAACCGGUACUAAUGAACCGUGAGG